rnacentral:rRNA from 1 species
UACGUAGGGACCAAGCGUUGUUCGGAUUUACUGGGCGUAAAGGGCGCGUAGGCGGCAAUUCAAGUCAGCUGUGAAAUCUCCGGGCUUAACUCGGAACGGUCAGCUGAUACUGCUUUGCUAGAGUGCAGAAGGGGCGAUCGGAAUUCUUGGUGUAGCGGUGAAAUGCGUAGAUAUCAAGAGGAACACCUGAGGUGAAGACGGGUUGCUGGGCUGACACUGACGCUGAGGCGCGAAAGCUAGGGUAGCAAACGGG